rnacentral:rRNA from 1 species
GAUGAACGCUGGCGGCGUGCCUAAUACAUGCAAGUCGAGCGAACAGACGAGGAGCUUGCUCCUCUGACGUUAGCGGCGGACGGGUGAGUAACACGUGGAUAACCUACCUAUAAGACUGGGAUAACUUCGGGAAACCGGAGCUAAUACCGGAUAAUAUAUUGAACCGCAUGGUUCAAUAGUGAAAGACGGUUUUGCUGUCACGUAUAGAUGGAUCCGCGCCGCAUUAGCUAGUUGGUAAGGUAACGGCUUACCAAGGCGACGAUGCGUAGCCGACCUGAGAGGGUGAUCGGCCACACUGGAACUGAGACACGGUCCAGACUCCUACGGGAGGCAGCAGUAGGGAAUCUUCCGCAAUGGGCGAAAGCCUGGCGGAGCAACGCCGCGUGAGUGAUGACGGUCUUCGGAUCGUAAAACUCUGUUAUUAGGGAAGAACAAAUGUGUAAGUAACUAUGCACGUCUUGACGGUACCUAAUCAGAAAGCCACGGCUAACUACGUG